rnacentral:rRNA from 1 species
UACGUAGGGGGCGAGCGUUGUCCGGAAUCAUUGGGCGUAAAGCGCGUGUAGGCGGCUUGGUAAGUCCGGUGUGAAACCUUGGGACUCAACCCCAAGCCUGCACUGGAUACUGCCUCGCUUGAGUCCGGGAGGGGAGAGCGGAAUUCCUAGUGUAGCGGUGAAAUGCGCAGAUAUUAGGAAGAACACCGGUGGCGAAGGCGGCUCUCUGGAACGGUACUGACGCUGAGACGCGAAAGCGUGGGGAGCGAACAGG